rnacentral:rRNA from 1 species
GAAACGUUAGUAUUUAAUACCUGCUAGCUGUGACGUUACUGACAGAAGAAGCACCGGCUGACCCCGUGCCAGCAGCCGCGGUAAUACUGAAGGUGCAAGCGUUAAUCGGAAUUACUGGGCGUAAAGCGUACGCAUGCGGUUUGUUAAGCCAGAUGUGAAAACCCCGGGCUCAACCUGUCAACUGCAUUUUCAACUGGCAAACUAGACUGUGAUAGAAGGUGGUAGAAUUUCACGUUUACCGCUGAAAUGCGUAGGGUUCUAAACGAAUACCGAUCGCCAAAGCAGCCACCUGGGUCAACACUGACUCUCACGUUCGAAAACUUUGCGAGCAUACUGGAUCAGAUACCCUGGUAGUCCACGCCCUAAACCAUGUCUACCAGAACCUCGGAUCUCCCCCUCUUUUUUUCAAUGCUAACGCAAUACCUUAACUCCCCCGGGGAGUUCAGCCCCCAUGGUUCAAACUCCAGUGGAAUUGGCCGGGGCCCCCCCUAAGCCCUGGAAACAAUUGGGUUUAAUUUCAAAGCAACUUCCCAAAACUUUUCCCCCCCUUGAAGGCGGGGAACUUACCAAAAAAAGGUUUUGUGCCCCCCCGGAA